rnacentral:lncRNA from 1 species
CUCCACCGCCCUCCGGCCUGGGCCCGCCUCCACCCAGCCUCUCCGUGGCUCCCCGGGCUGCCCCCGCCCCGCCCCCCCCCCCCCCCCCCCCUCCCCCGCCGUCGCCCCAUCCCCCCAGCCCCCACCCUCGGCUGCUGCCCGAGCUUCCUCCACACGCCGUGCAGUCUCCACGGCGACGCGGCGUCCCAGACUCGGAGCCCAGAGCCCAGCGCGAGCAGCUAGCCGGGCUGGCUCUCGGUGUCUGCCCUUCGGAUGGUCGGCUGGAGAGAGCCGCCAGCUGGACUUCUGUAGACAAGACAGAUACUGUAAAGACAGCAAAGAACAGACAGAAUGGCAGAUUGCUAAUGUCUGAUCCAAAGGAAAAAGUGACGAUUGAAUCAAAUGAAGCAAUGUCAGAUAAAUGUCUCUCUGGACACAGACCAAGAUUGACAAGCAAACUUAAUACCCCACCAACACAGAUCUCUCUAAAUGUAGCUAAGACAUUCUCAGAAAAGUAAGUUUUAAUUAAUUUUGUUUUUAGGCCCAUGUUUGACAAGUAUAAAUCAUUUUAUGACAAAGUUUAAAAUAGAAAUCUCCUGAAAAAAUUAUUAAUUUCAAUAGAAGUUUUGGGAUACUUCCUAAAUAUACCCAACACACUGAGGGAAAAAUUCUAAAACUUAGGUUAUCUGCCCUCUAUCAUAAAUAUGUUCCAAUGGAGUGUCUAACCUGAUUAGCUCUGUAAUUUUGUUAAGUACUAAAUUUUGCAUUUCCAAAGGAUAUUACUACAUGAAGUAAAAUUUUAAAUCUUUCCUCAGUUGUAAUUAUAGUUAACAAAAACAGAUCUGUUAUAGUAUACUAGUUAUCUGUUUUUCUUAAAUAGGGGCCUUAUGACCAUAAAUAACAUCACUUUCUCAAAUAGAAGUCAAUAGAUUUUAGGUGAAGAGGAAAUUGACCUUUGGGCCUCUGAUUCUUUGAAAGCUAUGCAAGAAAGACCAUAAGAAGUGAACAGAAGGGCGGGGCGCGUGGCUCAAGCCUGUAUCCAGC